AUGCUCCUAAAACUCUCUGUGUUGCUCCUUUGGAAUCAAGUGGCUCGUUUGGACAGCCAGCAGCUGGAGCAGAAUCCUCAGUUUCUGAGUAUUCAAGAGGGGCAAGAUCUCACUGUGUACUGCAACUCCUCAAGCACUUUCCCUCAAUUUUACUGGUACCGACAGGUGCCCAAGGAAGGUCCUGUCAUCCUGAUGACAUUAGUCAAAAGUGGAGAAGUAAAGGAACAGAAGAGGAUGACUGCUAAGUUUGGGGAAGCAAGAAAGGACAGCUCCCUGCACAUCAUCAGAGCCCAGCCUGGGGAUACAGGCAUCUAUUUCUGUGCAGGAACACAUUGCUCUUGUGGCCUCUGCUACCUGCCUCAAAACCCUGCAGCUGCGUACUCUUGCCACACUGCUUCCAUGAGCCUCUAG